rnacentral:rRNA from 1 species
GUGGGGAAUAUUGGACAAUGGGCGAGAGCCUGAUCCAGCCAUGCCGCGUGUGUGAAGAAGGUCUUCGGAUUGUAAAGCACUUUAAGUUGGGAGGAAGGGCAGUAAGUUAAUACCUUGCUGUUUUGACGUUACCGACAGAAUAAGCACCGGCUAACUUCGUGCCAGCAGCCGCGGUAAUACGAAGGGUGCAAGCGUUAAUCGGAAUUACUGGGCGUAAAGCGCGCGUAGGUGGUUUUGUAAGUUGGAGGUGAAAUCCCCGGGCUCAACCUGGGAACUGCCUCCAAAACUGCAUGACUAGAGUACGGUAGAGGGUAGUGGAAUUUCCUGUGUAGCGGUGAAAUGCGUAGAUAUAGGAAGGAACACCAGUGGCGAAGGCGACUACCUGGACUGAUACUGACACUGAGGUGCGAAAGCGUGGGGAGCAAACAGGAUUAGAAACCCUAGUAGUCC